AUGGGAGUUAUGAGUCACGAACCAUGGAUGAAAACACAUAUAUUGGCCAGGAUGGAGUGCAAUGGCACAAUCUCGGCUGACUGCAACCUCCGCCUCCCAGGUUCAAGGUUCAAGCGAUUCAGUCUCCCGAGUAGCUGGGAUUUACAGGUGUGUCUAACCUAAUGGUCUGCAACCUGGCCUACAGAGGAAGCUGGAAGAGUUGAAGGAGAGUAUUCUGGCCGAUAAAUUCCUGUCUAGUAGAACUGACUAGAACAGCAGAACUGCAUUGCACUGGGCAUGCUCAGCCAGACAUGCAGAAAUUGUUGAAUUUUUGUUGCAACUUGGAGUGCCAGUGAGUGACAAAGGCGAUACAGAACAUCCACGAACAUCCAAGACACUGAGGGUAACACUCCUCUACACUUAGCCUGUGAUGAGGAGAGAGUGGAAGAAGGAGCAAGUGUCCCAAGGAGCAAGUAUUCACAUUGAGAAUAAAGAAGAAAAGACACCCCUGCAAGCGGCCAGAGGUUGCCUACGUUUAAUACUCAAGUGAAUGGUGGAAGGUUAAACAGCUUGGAUUUAUUCUUACCUUUUUUUUUUUUUUUUUGAGACGGAGUCUCGCUCCAUCACCCAGGCUGGAGUGCAAUGGUGUGAUCUUGGCUCACUGCAACCUCUGCCUCCCGGGUUCAAGCAAUUCUCCUGCCUCAGCCCUCUGAGUAGCUGGGAUUACAGGCAUGUGCCACCAUGCCCGGCUACUUUUUGUAUUUUCAGUAGAGACGGGCUUUCACCAUCUUGGCCAGGCUGGUCUCAAACUCCUGACCUCAAGUGAUCCGGCCGCCUUGG
ensembl:lncRNA novel transcript